rnacentral:rRNA from 1 species
ACACUGUUCAUGUGGGCAGCAGCACAUGAGAAAUCAAAGUCUUUGGGUUCCGGGGGGAGUAUGGUCGCAAGGCUGAAACUUAAAGGAAUUGACGGAAGGGCACCACCAGGAGUGGAGCCUGCGGCUUAAUUUGACUCAACACGGGAACACUUACCAGGUCCAGACAUAGGAAGGAUUGACAGAUUGAGAGCUCUUUCUUGAUUCUAUGGGUGAUGGUGCAUGGCCGUUCCUA